AGUCGCCGCGGUAAUACGUAGGGUGCGAGCGUUAAUCGGAAUUACUGGGCGUAAAGCGUGCGCAGGCGGUUCGUUAAGACAGAUGUGAAAUCCCCGGGCUUAACCUGGGAACUGCAUUUGUGACUGACGGGCUAGAGUAUGGCAGAGGGGGGUAGAAUUCCACGUGUAGCAGUGAAAUGCGUAGAGAUGUGGAGGAAUACCGAUGGCGAAGGCAGCCCCCUGGGCCAAUACUGACGCUCAUGCACGAAAGCGUGGGGAGCAAACAGGAUUAGAUACCCCCGUAGUCCCUGUCUCUUAUACA
rnacentral:rRNA from 1 species